AAGCGGAAUAAUCAAACCUGGUACGUACUCGUUAGAUAUUUUCUUCUCUCUCCAUAUUUUUCUGGAUGGCAGCUGCUAAGCAAUCUGCAAAGUGCAAACUCACCAUUUUCCUUAAUCUAUCUCUAUCUUUGGAGGAGUGUCUUCUAUUCUACGCAUCGUCGUCGUCUGUAAUAGUACUUCACUUUUGCUCGCGCGGCCGGGUUGAAAAAUCUCGAAUAAGAAGGAAACUGGGGAUCUGUGGUGACACAAGUUAAGGCCUUGAAGGCUCACAUAGGUUCAUAUCUUCUGGGUGGAUUUUUCUACACUCAAGGUAUGUGCUGCUGCUAUAUUUGCAUUAGGACUAACCGACUAAGCAAAAAUCUCAAUGGAAAGCUUGUGAUUUAAGACAUUUGAUUUUCUAAUAACUUGCCUAGCUUCUGGGAAGCCUUUUCUACACUCAUGGUAUGUGCUACUGCUGUAUUUCCAUUUUGACAAAUUUCCUGCUUUGAUGCUUGCAGUAGGACCAGUAGAUUUCUUCUCAUAUACCUAUUUUUUUCAUCUGUGAAAUCAUCAACUAUGGGGUGCGGUUGUGCGGAUGAGCAGUAACACUUCAACUCAGUUCUUUAGGGUACUAUCAAUAAUAUACAAAAACCAACCAUGACUUUACUGUAGAGUAAUUCUAAGCAGUUUUUUCUCUCCUCAGCAUAUAUUAUAACUUUACAUAGCUUCCUAGUAUAUCUUCUGAAAAUAGUAAAUCAUAUUCACAUAUUUCAUCAAACAGAAAUCUGAUGAAUGUGAGUCAUCUGUGAAUCCAUCCUGUCACUUUACAAUUCUUCUACCAGUGUUUGAACCUGGUUCUUCAAAGUCUGAAAUUGGGGUAAAUUUCAUUAGGAAGCUGGUAAACUUGUGUAGGGCUGCCACCAACUCUAAUGCAGUUGAAGCCUGUUAAAACAACCAAUAUUAUACAGAUGAUUAGUGGUUGAAGACCUCUUAUAGUACUAGUAUCUAUUAAUUAUGACUUAUCAGAAAGUAGAAUUACCCCAAGUUCACAUCUGGCUUCUUCUUAUUCUGACUUUGUGAUUGACUGAGCUCGAGGUUUAUGGGUGCAUUCACACCAUAUUCUUUACGAACACCAUGUGUGAUGUGGUUGACCCCAUUCAAUGCACUUAUUCUCUCUGGGCCAUAGACCUGUUCCAUAUGUGGGUUUAGUUCAGAAGAUAUGGUCCCCUUAUCUGCCCUGAUUUAUUCUUAUAUUCAACGCAACACCUAACCGACAAAUACCUUUUUCUGUAACUCUGCAUUCUCUUGACUUACAACAUGUACCUUCUUGCUUAGUUCUAUGUUUUCUUGUUGAAUGAGGUUUCCCUGCGAUAAGAGUGAUGAGGCUAUCCACUCACCUUUAAUUCUUUAUAAGAACAUGAUAAAGUUGGAGUUAUAUGGACUUCUCACAGGAAUACCUUCAUGUUUAACUCUUUGAUCUCCUCACUCAGAAUUUGUUCCUAUGAGAGUAAAAUAUUAGACCUUUUGUUAGCGGGAGAUCUGUAGGUAAGUAGCUGUUUAAAAUGAACAGAAAAAAGGUGUUUACCUUCUUGAUUCGCACUCCUUUCAAACUCUUCUCGAGCUGAUUUUCCAGAUUUUGGAGGUCAUUGAUGCUCAAUCCUGAAAGCUCUUCUCCUAAAAGCUGCCUUUACUUAUCAAGAAAAGGGCAUGUGGUAUAUUCUUAGUUUAUCAUCUCACUCUUAAGAUAUUUUUACUCUAUACUGAUAACUUAAAUCUCAUUGGCCAAAUGCUGUCUAACACAUCAAUGUUUGAAUGUUUUUGGUCGUACUCUCGAAAUUCCGUUAUUCUUUACUUGAUGUGCAGUGAAAAUAUGCAUUUGGUUCCUUAAUUUCUAAGACAAGUACUAUAACUGAGAUUAAUGAGAAGAAAUAGUAACCUCGAAGCCUUUAAGCAUUUUAAGGUGAUCUACAAUGUGUUCUUUGAAUUGACUAUUUGUGUAUAUCUGGUAUUUGAUUGACUAUCAUAAACAAUUCUAACUUUACUCAACACCUCCUCUCCAUUCUCCAAACAAAAUGAAGAAGAAGAAAAUAAUGACAUAAUGAAUUCACAUUUCAAUAUGAGAUGAAAAUGUGAUAAUUGCAAUAUAGGUGCCAUCUUGUUUAUAUAUGCUUUCUUUAUCUCCCAAUAACUGUCUCCUGCCUUUUGAAAAACACACACCAAGAAAAUGGACAAUUUUUCUCUUAGAACUCUAAUUAUUACAUUGAUGUUCUUAAAUUAUAGUCUCUACUUUUAACCCAUGGAAACUUUUUUGUCCAAACAUAAGUACAAUAUAGCCUUUGCUUAUGUCCAUUGUUUACUUAAUAGCUCAAGUCAAAAGUUUUGUCUAACUUACGCUGACGUGUCUUCAAGAAACAUGAAAAAGAGCAACUAGUGGAACGUCUACAACCUGUAAUACUCUUUUAAUAUGCUGAAAACAACGAAAACUCUCUUAAAUUACCCAAAAUUUGUGACUCAGUUUAAUAAGUGAAUAACAUAGAGAAAUAAGUAUGUUCUAUACUUGUAAUAUUUUUAAUUUUGUGCUAAAAAGUCAGCAUGAUAACCAUAUUUAGUCUAUAAUUUAAGAAUGUGACUUAUUACCUUGAAAAUUGAAAAAAAUGAACAAUUGGCAUUGAUAACCUGGGAGGAUAAUAUUUAACUAUAAAUUGUUAAUGAGACACUUUUGGGGAAUAUGCUAAUAUCACUUUUGACUUUUGUUGGUAUCUCGUAUCUCAUUGCAUAUUGCAAUCAAUUAUCAUUGUACUCACACAGAAAAAAGAAACUCGUCAGAUGCUACCACAUAUAGUUAACUAACUUAUGUCAUAUCAUACUCCUUGGAGUGUUCAUUAUGGUAUCAACAUAAACUUUAGUCAACAACUAUGUAUAACAUGUCAAAUGCAAAUUCGCAUUUACCUGUGGCAUUGUUGCAAGUACUGCAGCUGUUUCCCCAAGCUUGAUGCUUCCCUUUGCCAAAACUACAAUAAAUAAAAAAUGGAUGAUUAGUCUAAUUGGCCAUAAUCCUGCUGAUAUCAGGUCUAUGAUAAACUGCAUUAUUUGCAAAUGCUAUGUUGAACCCAAAACUCUUGAAAGGUCACGUGAAUGUGGAUUAAGUAUUACUAUCUCAUAAAAUGCUUAAUGAUAUGCUUUGCCCUAAUUUAAGUAACUAUUGCUGUGUUUUUCAAUUCAUAUAGUGAGUUCUGGACCUAGCAGGGUUCGGUUGGUGAAGCAAUUUUCACUAUGCAUAUGGUGUCCGGUCAUGUGUCUGUGCUAAGCUAUACCCUGCUAUUUGCUUCUGUUUACCAAAUGUUUAAAUUGUUAUGAGAGGUAAUAAAUAUUUAAAGUACAGGCAUACAUUUUCACAUUGUGAAUAAAUUCUAUCAAGUUUAGUCUCGUUUAUGGAAUCUUAACAGUAACUUCAAGUAAUGUUUGAUCUUAUAUCUAGGAAAUAGUUUGUUAAGGAACCUUUUAAAAACCAAAUUAUGGACAGUUGCUUUACUGAUGAAAGAAAAGAACAUCUGGAAUAAGAAUGAUUGAUGUAUCCAAUACAAAUCCUGCAGAACCCGAGUAAAAAGGAAUUGUGUGAGUUAUUCCAAAGGGUACUUGUAAGCAUGUAGCAUUAGAGUUCUAAAUAAUAUGGAGUGAGAAAUUCCCCUCUGGCUGUUCAACUAAUUUUAAGAGCAUGAUCUGUGGAGUUUUCACACCCUGAAGCUAUGACAUUUUGAGAAUUCAAGAAUUUAAGGUGGUUAAGUACCUAGGAAAUCUGACAAAGGUGUCAAUGUUUGAUCGAGGACUUAGGUUUCUGGAAGGGAAAUCAUAAAUAUUCUAAAAAGUUGGCAAUAUAGUGACUGUUUGUGUACCGGAGGGUGUAUCUUUUUACAGAAAAAUGUAUCUGCCUUUUUAAAACCUUAGCUUCUGUGGGUAAUUGGUACUUUGAUUUCUAUGUCCAAUUUUGUUUUAGGUGUAAAAUGCUCAUCUCGAUCAGUCGAUCUCCUGACCUCUUACUUCCUUAAGCAACACACUUAAGGAAUUACUCUUAGCUUCAUCUUUGUAAAAUUUAUUUACUGAAAUUUUGAUGCACUAUUUUCAAGUUACAGGAAUGUCAAUUUCUCAUAAGCCUUGAUUAACAAUAAUCUAUCACUAAUGUUUCAGAGACAUUCUUGUUGUAUCAUAUGGCAAGUUGGCUGCUUUGCUUAAAGCUGACUACAUUGAUAUCCUUCUACUCUAAAACUUGGGUUACAUGCUUUGAGUCCCUACUAUAUGUUAUUUCAAAUUCUAGUUGCUAGUAAAGGGCAAAUAGAGCCACAAGUGUUCUAUCUUCCUUGAGAUGCUGCUAAAAUUGAAUUUUUUGAAGCAACAUAAUGUGAUAGUAGCUGAAUUCAAAGAAUUUUCCCAUUGUUGCAAUAUUAAUUCAUAGCUCAAGUGAUAACUAUAUCUUUAACUAUGUCCUAUAUCCUUCAUUCUAUGAUCUUCUUUGCUUUCUUGUUCAAAGCUCUUAUGAGCUUUCAACCAAUGUAAAUCAGUUAAUGCUAUGCACCACUAGGACUCAGAAGGAUAACUUGAUGAUCCAGAUAUGGUUUGUGGAGGGAUGUUAUUCUCAUGAACUUAAGAUAUCUUGCUUAUGUGAUUCUGAUCAAAUUCUUGUUAGCUUCGAUAUGGGAUGGCGAGUGUUCACACUGGCAAGUUCAUAGGAAGGCAGUUGAUCUGUUAUUGGAUCUCUUUAAGUUGCCCAAUUUGCAAAUAAUUAGAAAUUCAGGUCCAUGAUUUUGGCUUCUAUGACAAUCUUUCCAAGAUUUUCAGUUGAAAUUGUAAGAAAAUCGAUUGCUUAAAAUUUGGCUUCAAGCACGAACUAGUACACGAUGGUAUGGCUGAACUGCCAAAAUUCUGUAUCCAUUUUUCAUAUUUUGCAGAGAGAGAAAAAGAGAUUGCAUGUAAUAUGCACAGUUGUUUCUAUGAGAUACACUUGCACAA